rnacentral:rRNA from 1 species
UACGUAGGCAGCAAGCGUUGUUCGGAGUUACUGGGCGUAAAGGGUGUGUAGGCGGUUGGAUAAGUGUGGUGUGAAAUCUCCCGGCUCAACUGGGAGGGUGCGCUACAAACUGUCUGACUAGAGUGCGGGAUGGGAAAGUGGAAUUCCUGGUGUAGCGGUGAAAUGCGUAGAUAUCAGGAGGAACACCGGUGGUGUAGACGGCUUUCUGGACCGUAACUGACGCUGAGACACGAAAGCGUGGGUAG